GCGGAAGUGUAGGGCGAUACUGAUUUAAUAGUAGCUUAAAAGAUUACCUUAUUUAGUAUUAACUAUUCCAUUUGUCCUUGAAAUUUAUAGAGGAAUCAGGAACUGUCACUGGUUCCCAUACUUGGGACCACCUUCAAGUCCCCUCUUGUCAUCCCAACCCCUCACCCACGGCUGGCCAGGAGUCGCACGGGUCUCUGGAGCUGCAUGUCGGUUCAGAUUUUCCAAAACCUUCGACUGAAGGUCAGUAAAUACGAUAUUGUUGUUCACUGCCUCUGGUGGCUGCUCCUGCCCGCUAAGCCACUUCCAUAAGUCCGGGUUCUCUAGGUCAAGGACAUCGACGAGGGCUCGGAUCCUCGGCUCGUCCAUCGAUCCAAUGUUCUCCUCCACCCAUUUCCCCAACACCAGGUCGAGUUCAAGAAACCCCCGCUGCUUGCUCCUGUACGUCAACCUGUUGAAGAGGCGGCGCUUGCUCUCCUCAUUGGAGAGGUCGAUAUCGAGUGGCGCCCGGUCGGAGGAGAAUCGGUGGAGGGAUCCGAUGGGAGAGGUGGGGAGCGAGUGUGGGAAGGUGGGGCGGGCUAGGGUUUGGUGGAGGCGGAGGAGAGAUCGCCGGAGGGCCGCCAUCGGAGAGGGGGAGGCGG
rnacentral:misc_RNA from 1 species